GGGGGUCGGGGAGAAAAUAUUUACCCUCUGGAGCAAGCAUGGACUUCAUUUAAUUCAAUAAAAAAAAAAGAUUCUGGGUGUCUAUUAUGUAUCAGGUGCUGGUUUCAGAUGUGAUCAAGACGCAGCCCUGUACUCACGGAGUUCAUGGCCUAGGAAGGGAGAAAGACAUGUAAACACAUACAUCAUAAUACAUUGUGACAGUGAAAACAGCAGGUACAAUGGUUGCACAGAAGAGGGAGUGAUGACCUCUCUCUGGGGGGAGUCUCUGAGCCGGUGACCUCCAAGCGGGGCUUUGAAGAUGGAUGGAGUUUGCUAGGUGAGUGAGUGUCAGGUAGAAAAGAUUCCUGGAGACAGAGGGCUAGCACUGUAAAGGCACAGACUCAUAAAACAACACACUUGCCUUUGCUGGACUAUAAAAUGUGGGUGGAGGGGGGAGGAGGAGAGGAAGGGGGAUGUAAACUAUAGAGCAUCGUAUAAGUACACUUGAUUUCAUUUACAUUAAUAUUGCAGCAUCAAAGAGGAAGGGGCAGGAGAUAGGUCAAGAAGAGGUAACUGUGGCCAGAUCAUGAAGAGCCUGGUAUUUACUUGCUUCAGUUGUGUGUAGGCUGAAGGGAGGCAGGGGUGGUGGGAAUGGAGAGGGAACAAGAGGUAAUAAAGGAGUAGGGGUGUUGGGGCUUAGUGAUGGAGUGGAUGUGGGGAGUGAGGGAGGGAGAGGAUCCAAGCCACUCUCAGGUUCACUGGGCCGACACACAAGGAAGCUGUAUGACUGAAGAUAGCAUGAAGGUAGCAAGAAGAGCCGGUCUGGGGGAAUGAGAAGGUAAGGUCUGUGUUGUACAUGUGGAGUUGGCUGUGCCUGUGAACAUCCAGGGGGGAUGUGGGCAGUUGGAAUCACACGCUAGAGGUUCUAUGUGUGAGCUUAUAGAGUCUUUAUGGAGGCAUGUGCGGGGAUAGAACCUGGAGCCCUAGGGUAUAAUAUUGAUAAUGGCUAACAUUUCACGCAUGCUUGCUGUGUGCCAGGCUGUGCUGGGCAUUUCCUAGGCAAUGCCCAAUCAGGGACUAUAUCUGCUUCGCUCAUCAUUUUAUGUCUCAUAACAGGCAUAUCCUGGGUACACCGUAAUGAUUUUGUUCAAUGGGGGCUCCUGUUUUGUCCUCACAACAACCCUAUGGGGCAGGUAGUAUGAGGAUCCUCAUUUUACAGGUGAGGAAAACGAUCUAGAAAAGAUUAAAUUGACCAAGGUCACACACUUGUAUGUAGCAGAUCUGAGAUUUGAGAUCAGCUCUUUGUGACCAUGAAGUCCAAAGUGUUCAACCACUUUGUUGGAAUGUUAAAAUCUGCACCUAAACAUGUACUUAAUGACCCACGGUAAGACUCAAACCCCUUUGAGACUACCACAUCCCGAGUGGGUUUCAAAAAUCUCAGACCUCCCUUUCUAGCUUCAAAACUCUGAUGUCAGAGGACUCCUGUGGAGAUGCGCUGGAGGGGCAUCUUAUCAUUUAGUCUGAAAGGCCUGAGAAGUGGAUGUAGUGCGACACCGCCAACCAAUUAUCACCCAGUUAGCAGCCUGAAACAACACGCGUGUCUUCUCUCAGUUUCUGUGGACUCACUGCUUUAGCUCUGUCCUGUGUUCAAGGUCGUCUCACAAAGCCGCACUCCAGGUGUCAGCCAAACUGAGUUUUCAGCCAGAUGCUUGAGUGGAGAAGAGUCUGCGUCUGAGCUCAUUCUUGUCCCAGGCUUUAUUUCCUCAGGAUUAUAUACCUAAGGCCUGACUUUCUGCUGGCUGUUGGCCAGAGGCCACCGUCAGGUCGAGGAGGCGGCUUCCUCAACAUGGCUGCUCACUUCGUCAAGCCUGCCAGGAGAACCUGCUAGCGUGUGCUGGUAAGAUGGAUAUCUGUCUAUAUAGAUCUCCCUUAUAAAGCAGGAGAUAUAGGUAGAUAUGUAAAUAUUGCAUAUUAUGUAUCAUGGGAGUAACAUCCCAACACCUUUGCCAUAUUCUAUUGCUUAGAGGUGAAUCUUAGGUCCCAUCUGCACUCAAGGGGAGGGAUUUACACAAAGGCGUGGACACCAGAAGGUAGGAAUUACUGGGGGUCCCCCCCAGGGUCCGUCAUCCACAAAGGGUCACAUUACCGGCUCAGAAUUCACAAGUAAUAAUAAAUCCAACUAAAGUUGGUCUGCCUUUUUUUUUUUUUUUAAGAUUGUAUUUAUCUGCCAGAGAGAGAGAGAGUACACACAAUCAGGCAGAGGCAGGCAGAGGCAGCAGAGAAGCAGGCUCCCUGCCAAGCAAGGAGCCUGAUGCGGGACUCGAUCCCGGGAUGCUGGGAUCAUGACCUGAGCCGAAGGCAGCGACUUAACCAACUGAGCCACCCAGGCAUUCCUGUCUGCUUUUUCAUUAAUGUGGUGAACUGUCAAUUUUAGAUGUGGCAAAAUACUCCUUCCUGGAAGAGUCUUCUGUUUUAAGGUCUAAACAGUUGCCCGGAUUACUGUUGUUUUUCACAGUGCACACGUAAGCUUCAUUUUAAAAAUUACUUAUCCUUUAAUGCAUUGUAAUCUACAUGGAAGUAAACUCCAAGUUGUACUAACGGUUGGUCCCCAACACAUGGACUUAGCUAUAUGCCUUCAUUUAAGAGGAAGUCUGUAAUGGUUCAGAGUCAUUUGAAAUUGUUUUGGGUGCAGUGCACUGUCUCCAGCCCUCUGGUAGUACACAGAACUGUGUUUAAAUAGAUUUGAAAUAAACGAGGACAACAGUGACUGUAAAAGCUGAGAAACUGAACUCGAGGUACUUCAGUUCUGUUAUUAUGUAUGACCGUGUGGAGUUUUUGUGUUUAAAAUUUAAUGCUGUGAAGGAAGCGAUGCAAACUGAGACGUGCGAUGUUUUCAUUUGGUAAAUACACAUCGCAGCUAGUACAGGAAAUACUUAAUUGCAUUUAAUAUUAACUUUAGAGCGGAAAAUUCCCUUACGAUUAUUUAUUGUAAAACUGAAGAACGAAUCAAGAAAACAAAACAUUACAACAUUAUAUUUUGGUCGUUGCCUAAUGCUUGGUGAGCUACUGUUUUGCUGCUUAGGAAUAAAAAUAGCCAGUCCCAGCUUGGCUCACCAUGUGCUGGACCCUUCCAAACACACUCACUCACGCUCACCCGGAUCUGUAUGAACUCGUUCAAACGAUCCUAGCAGGUAAGACCAGCUAUUAAUCAUAUCGAUAAAAUACUCUGGGGCACAGAAGGACGGUGAUCUCCUCCAGAUCAUCCAACUAGGGCGGCAGGGCUGGAAUUUGGACCCGGUCCUGUGGCUCCAAUCCCUGAAUUCUUAGCCGCUGGGGAGAAAAGACAAAGCGAAAGCAGCACCCCCAACAGCCCUGCAGACCGAUGGGAGCCCUUCACAAAGGACAGGAGGGCUGCUUUCCAUUCCGGACCUGGCCCUGCUGGCUCCUGGGCGGAGGGAGAGCUGGCUUCCCCAGGGGCUGCUCCCUCGGCGUCCCCUCCUCUGCUAUCAUCUGCCAGGCCCAGGUUUCUCCUUGGCCCUUUCCAGCUUCCGGCCGUUCGCGCCAGGCCAGGUCGCAGGGUCAAGAGCUCGCGAGCCCUCUAUUUACUGUUUGGUUUCCAUGGUGACACGUAGGCGCCGUCAGCGCCUCCCGUCACAGGCCCCGCAGCGCGGCCCCCACCCGGCGCCGUGACGUCUGCCCGCCGCUUCCGCUCUGCCCAUAUUUGGCUUCGCCCGCGAGCCGCGGGGAGGGGAGGAGGCUGCGAGCCGGCCUCCCGCCUCGUCCCGCCCCCUGCUCCCGGCCACGCCCCCGCGGGGUGCUGGCGCGAGCUGUGUGUCACGCGCCUCCCGCCCCCGCCCCUUCCCGCAGAUCCGAGGUGCGGCGAGGGACGGGGGCGUUAGGGACCCCUAGAGAGGGCGUGGGUGAUCGGAUGAGCUCCGAGGUCUCUCAACAAUCUUGCAGGCGAGAUUGGCGGCUGUCUCACCCGUCCCGGCUGGGUGAGCCCGGUUCACGAUUUUGUCACUCCGUGCCGGAAAUCAGGGAAACAGCCGUCCCCAGCCGAACCCUAGUUUGUAUUUUAUAGGCUCGAACUGCAAAUUCUCGCCCAUGGGGCGGUGGAAAGCUUUGAAGCCGGAGGCUCUGGGAUCAGUGCUGCCCCUUGGGGGAUAAGUGACCUUGGGAAGGUCACUUCCCUUUACCCGGCCGGCCGGCUAGAAAGAACUGGUGGGGUUGGGGGGGCGUGAUCGCGCUGUCUGCAGCAGUCUCAGGUGUGUGAGGGGGGUCGUCCGUCACCUUAGAACUGUCCCCUAUCCCCUUGGCGUCAUGGAAUGCCCGUGAAGCUCGCUGAGGACCCCUACAAUUCCGAUCCUGACAGUAGCCGGAAUUGGGUGGCUCUUGCAGCCUCGCUGGGCUGAGGCGCUUAAUUCACUCAGUUAACGGAUGACUGAAUGGGAUCCCAGGCAAAUUACCUUCGGAUUUCACCUUCAUAAAUCCGGAUCCCCGCAAUUCCUCUUGCAGGCGGAAGGAAGAAUAUUGCGAUGAUUAAUAACCGCGCAGCAGGGUUGCUGAGGUAAAGCGAUUUGCAGAUGUAAAGGGCAAUAAGCAUUCCUGGGAGGAACCCAACGAGAUUCCAGAAGCCUCGGCGGGAGCCGUGGGUGUACGCCGCCGGGCCUCGAGGGCGGGUGGGGAGGGAGGCGGGCAGUGCCGCAGAGGCCCCUGCGGGGGACUGACUGCGGGCGCGGGGUAACUCUUCAGGGGGCUCAGUCGCGCGCCUCUCCUCCCGCCGAUUCCCCAGUUUCUCUGGCCAGAGGACUGCGUGUUUUCCAGAACAUCAGAGCUGGAACGCACAGCGGACAUUUCCCCCUACUCCAGCCUUUCCGUUUCACAAAUGGGGACACUAAGGCUCCGAGAAGUAGGUUCAUCCUUCCAAACGUGCACAGCUGGUUGGAGACAGAUGAAGACGAGGAUUUCUGGCUUCAAACCAGAGUGCUUUCCAUCUCACCUCUAACCCCAGUGCUCUUGUGGCUUGGGGACCCUGCUGCUUGGCUCCGGUGGUGGGGUGUGCAGUAGAGCCAAACACUGGCUUUGGGCCUCCUAGAGGACGCCAGUGGGACACCUGCUCCUCCGCACGGCUCACAGCCUGACCCCAGGACCUGCAGCGAUGGCCAGGAGGUGUGAACUGCCAAAGCCACAAAUAUGCCUCCUUAACAGGGGGUUGGAACGGCUUUUCUCGUCCAGAGAACCCGAGUUGGCUGUCCUGAAACCAGUCUUGGACCAGCAGCUGGUCGUUCUUCACAGUUACCCAAGCCCUGCAUGAAGCUUUUCGCAGCCAAGACAAGAGCAGAAGGCACGGAGCCCGAACCCGUGGGAACCCGUUUUUGCGCACUGGAAGACCGAGUACGAAGGCAGCUCAGACUGAGAAGACCCGGCCUCAGGGAUCCCCACCGGCUGGUUAGAGGAGUCUGGGAUCCUUCCCUUCUGAUUGUACUCGGAGCUAGAGCGGUAGAAGCAACAGUUCUGCCCCCUGGUGGACAUGGGAGGCACAGCGCCCUUCUCCAACUCAGAAGCCCCACCGUGGUGCUGCUGCAGGAGAGGAAGGAAGCCCUCUUGGUUCCCUCUGAUAGAGCAAAAUUUGGCACAGGAAAAAUAAUCCCUUUCUGGCUUAAUUCUGAUGAUCUGGUCAGUUUGGAUGCAGAAAAGAUUUGUAUUGUUUCUCUUGCCUGGACUCUGCUGUUCCUUCGUGCUAUCCAAACCCCUACCCCUUUUCUAACUCCUGUUUCAAGUUCUGCCUCCUUCAUAACAACUUUUCUGACUCUCCUCGCCUAUAUGUCUUUUAAAUACAGCGGUGCACAGACCUAGCAUGCGGAGUGCACAUUUA